GCAUCAUAUAUCCAUUAGUCUGGUCUGGAGGUAAGCUGUCUGGGAUCAUAUCUGAAUAUCCAUUAGUCUGGUCUGUAGGUAAGCUGUCUGGGAUCAUAUCUGAAUAUCCAUUAGUCUGGUCUGUAGGUAAGCUGUCUGGGAUCAUAUCUGAAUAUCCAUUAGUCUGGUGAGGUAAGCUGUCUGGGAUCAUAUCCAUUAGUCUGGUCUGUAGGUAAGCUGUCUGGGAUCAUAUCCAUUAGUCUGGUCUGUAGGUAAGCUGUCUGGGAUCAUAUCUGAAUAUCCAUUAGUCUGGUCUGUAGGUAAGCUGUCUGGGAUCAUAUCCAUUAGUCUGGUCUGUAGGUAAGCUGUCUGGGAUCAUUUCUGAAUAUCCAUUAGUCUGGUCUGGAGGUAAGCUGUCUGGGAUCAUUUCUGAAUAUCCAUUAGUCUGGUCUGGAGGUAAGCUGUCUGGGAUCAUUUUAAGGGAGAAUGUAAUUGGCAUGCCGACUG
ensembl:lncRNA